AUUGAACGCUGGCGGCAGGCCUAACACAUGCAAGUCGAACGAAGCCUUCGGGCUUAGUGGCGGACGGGUGAGUAACACGUGGGAACGUACCUUUUGGUUCGGAACAACUCAGGGAAACUUGAGCUAAUACCGGAUGAGCCCUUAGGGGGAAAGAUUUAUCGCCGAAAGAGCGGCCCGCGUUAGAUUAGCUAGUUGGUGAGGUAAAGGCUCACCAAGGCAACGAUCUAUAGCUGGUCUGAGAGGAUGAUCAGCCACACUGGGACUGAGACACGGCCCAGACUCCUACGGGAGGGAGCAGUGGGGAAUCUUGCGCAAUGGGCGAAAGCCUGACGCAGCCAUGCCGCGUGAAUGAUGAAGGUCUUAGGAUUGUAAAAUUCUUUUACCAGGGACGAUAAUGACGGUACCUGGAGAAAAAGCCCCGGCUAACUUCGUGCCAGCCGCCGCAGUAAAAC
rnacentral:rRNA from 1 species